AAAACUUUACAAUGCGGGCAACCGUGAUAAGGGAACCUCGAGUGCCUGUAUAUGCAGGCUGUUCAGGUGUCUAAAACACACCUGAAGAAAGGGCCGGGCAAGACCGGUGCCAGCCGCCGCGGUAAUACCGGCGGCUCGAGUGGUGGCCACUUUUAUUGGGCUUAAAGCGUUCGUAGCUGGGUUGUUAAGUCUCUUGGGAAAUCUGGCGGCUUAACCGUCAGGCGUCUAAGGGAUACUGGCAAUCUUGGAACCGGGAGAGGUGAGGGGUACUUCGGGGGUAGGAGUUAAAUCCUGUAAUCCUCGAGGGACCACCUGUGGCGAAGGCGCCUCACCAGAACGGCUUCGACAGUGAGGGACGAAAGCUGGGGGAGCAAACCGGAUUAGAUACCCGGGUAGUCCCAGCCGUAAACGAUGUGCGUUAGGUGUAUCGGUGACCACGAGUCACCGAGGUGCCGAAGGGAAACCGUGAAACGUACCGCCUGGGAAGUACGGUCGCAAGGCUGAAACUUAAAGGAAUUGGCGGGGGAGCACCACAACGGGUGGAGCNUGCGGUUUAAUUGGACUCAACGCCGGAAAUCUCACCGGAUAAGACAGCGGAAUGAUUGCCGGGCUGAAGACUCUGCAUGACUAGCUGAGAGGAGGUGCAUGGCCGUCGUCAGUCCGUACUGUGAAGCAUCCUGUUUAGUCAGGCAACGAGCGAGACCCACGCCAACAGUUGCCAGCAUGGCCUCCGGGCUGAUGGGGACACUGUUGGGACCGCCUCUGCUAAAGGGGAGGAAGGAAUGGGCAACGGUAGGUCAGCAUGCCCCGAAUUAUCCGGGCUACACGCGGGCUACAAUGGGCAGGACAAUGGGUAUCGACACCGAGAGGUGAAGGCAAUCUCUUAAACCUGUCCUUAGUUCGGAUUGUGGGCUGUAACUCGCCCACAUGAAGCUGGAAUCCGUAGUAAUCGCGUUUCAAAAUAACGCGGUGAAUGUGUCCCUGCUCC
rnacentral:rRNA from 1 species